rnacentral:rRNA from 1 species
CCUACGGGAGGCAGCAGUGGGGAAUAUUCGGCAAUGGGCGAAAGCCUGACCCAGCAACGCCGCGUGAACGAAGAAGUUUUUCGUAAUGUAAAGUUCUUUUAUCUGGGAAGAAAAAACAAAUUGACGGUACCAGAUGAAUAAGCUCCGGCUAACUACGUGCCAGCCGCCGCGGUAAU